rnacentral:rRNA from 1 species
CCUACGGGAGGCAGCAGUGGGGAAUAUUGCACAAUGGGCGAAAGCCUGAUGCAGCAACGCCGCGUGAGCGAUGAAUGCCCUCGGGUCGUACAGCUCUGUCCUCAAGGAAGAUAAUGACGGUACGUGAGGAGGAAGCCCCGGCUAACUACGUGCCAGCAGCCGCGGUAAUACGUAGGUGGCUAGCGUUAUCCGGAAUUACUGGGCGAAAAGGGUGUUUAGGUGGUUUCUUAAGUCAGAGGUGAAAGGCUACGGCUCAACCGGAGUAAGGCUUUGAAACUGGGAAACUUGAGUGCAGGAGAGGGGAGUGGAAUUCCUAGUGUAGCGGUGAAAUGCGUAGAUAUUAGGAAGAACACCGGUUGCGAAGGCAGCUUUCUGGACUGUAACUGACACUGAUGCACGAAAGCGUGGGGAGCAAACAGGAUUAGAUACCCUUGUAGUC